rnacentral:rRNA from 1 species
UACGUAGGGGGCGAGCGUUGUCCGGAAUCAUUGGGCGUAAAGCGCGUGUAGGCGGCUCGGUAAGUCCGGUGUGAAACCUUGGGGCUCAACCCCAAGCCUGCACUGGAUACUGUCGAGCUCGAGUCCGGGAGGGAGAGCGGAGUCCUAGUGUAGCGGUGAAAUGCGCAGAUAUUAGGAAGAACACCGGUGGCGAAGGCGGCUCUCUGGAACGGUAC